rnacentral:rRNA from 1 species
GAAUAUUGGUCAAUGGGUGAGAGCCUGAACCAGCCAUGCCGCGUGCAGGAAGACGGCCUUCUGGGUUGUAAACUGCUUUUGCCAGGGGAUAAAACGUUCCUGCGGGAAUAAUUGAAGGUACCUGGUGAAUAAGCACCGGCUAACUACGUGCCAGCAGCCGCGGUAAUACGUAGGGUGCAAGCGUUGUCCGGAUUUAUUGGGUUUAAAGGGUGCGUAGGCGGCCUUGUAAGUCAGUAGUGAAAUACCCCAGCUUAACUGGGGGGGUGCUAUUGAUACUGCAGGGCUUGAGUACAGAUGAGGUAGGCGGAAUUGACGGUGUAGCGGUGAAAUGCAUAGAUAUCGUCAAGAACACCGAUAGCGAAGGCAGCUUACUAAGUUGUAACUGACGCUGAGGCACGAAAGUGUGGGGAUCAAACAGG